UGGGCACCUUCUCACCCGAAAGCGGGUCACACCUACCCCGCCUUGCCUCCCCUCUGGAUUCAUUACCCAACACACCAAAAUAGCUCUGACUGAUUUCACACAAUGUUGGAAUGUUAUUCACUGCUGCUGGACGUUUCGGGACCUUUUUAAAAGUGCUGUGUCAGCAGUUAAUGUGCCCAGUGGUAGUUGCACUAUGAGGGCGCCUGUUUACACCUGUACCACCUCUUUCCUGGGGACACCAAGGCCAAGAUCCUGAAGACAUUUUUUUUUAUCAACAAGCUUGAAGAUGACAUUAAGGAAACGACUCCUGUCUAUUUUGUUGUACUGCAUCAAACGUGUGGCCUCGCUCUUCUGCCUGCAUCCCAAACGCAACAAGAAAAACUGCCUCUCUGGGGGAGCCAGGAAUCUGGUGUCUGUCAUCCAGCAGCUUGCCCAGAGGGUCACUCGGGGGAUGCGGACCACUCUGUGAUGCACUCCCCCGGUCACCCAUGCCGCUGAACAACUACUACUUCACAAAUUGGAGCAAUUUCAUUAUGUAUAUUAUCAUUUGAUGGCAUCAAAUAAAUAAAUAAAUA